CAGCCAGAAGAUCAGUCUCUUAGUCGUACAUGGCUCUUGCCUUUUACCAGAGCCAUCCGGGGACUGUCUUCAUGCCAAAUGGCUUGCUUUUAAUUUUUGGAACCCUUUUUGUAAUAUCAGGA
rnacentral:snRNA from 1 species